CCAAGGAGCCAGGUUUUAAGAGUUUCAAUUUUUAUUUGCUUGAGAAAGCAAAGAGAGACAUACUGUCAGGAUGGUAGAAACACACGGAUUCAAUAGCAGGUAAGAUAGUUUAUUAGAGGCAGGUUGGCAGACGGUCUAUAGGAAUUCAAGGCAGAGUCUCUGGCUGCGAGGCCAACUGGGAAACCCAGCAUACGGCAGCGCCAGCGACUUGAAUAAAGCCAAGACCGUAGUCCUCCGCGCUGGCUAAGAGGCCAACUGGGAAACCCAGCAUACGGCAGCGCCAGCGACUGGAUGAAGAGUGUCCCCGCUCAGCUGCUUGAUAGAUGGUAAGGAGACGAGCUUCCACAAGAUGAACACUCCGACAGUGUGCAAAAGUUCUUACACAGGAGGGAGAUCUUAUGGUUCAAGUCCCGGGAGGAGAGAGGAGCAGCCCAGUAGACAGGGGAGAAGCGGCCACGGCAGAGAAUCCACGUAGCAGGUGUUGUGAUGGGCUCUAAGUUUCUGGAGGCGACUCCGGUGACAGCUUUGAACCUACAAACCAAACCAAAAAGAAUAUGUUUUCUUACAUCGGAUUCACCGAUUUCCAUCUUGUGGCCGUUUAGAGAAUUACAUGCAGGACCGUCACUUCAGCAAAGCCUCUGAUGGGAGACGCGACAGAAAGAAAAGCGAGCACAGGUUAUGUAUAUUCACUUUCUUUAAUAAUACACUCAUAUUAAAUACGAGAGCAAUUAAUGCACAAAUGAGAUGUUUCAUUUAAUGCCUGAUAUGUUGUUUAUGCAGCUUCGUUAAUUCAAUUCAAGUUUAUUUAUAUAGCGCUUUUCACAAUGUGUAUUGUUUCAAAGCAGCUUUACAGGGGCAAACAGGAAAAACAGAAAAGUUAAAACACAGCACAGUGCAUGGUGUUUAUACAACGAGUAAGAUCAUUCUAAUAAAUAAUAUCUAAUUUCUAAUUAAAUAAAUAAAUGAAUGAAUGCAGUCUCUCGGUGAGCAGGCCAACACUGCCCUGCUGUGGCGAGGAACCCAAACUCCAAUGAUUGAUUAAUGGAGAAAAAAACCUCGGGAGAAACCAGGCUCAACCGGGAGGGCCAGAUCCCCUCUGAUGUGUCAUAGCUGCACUCAAACUGCUGACAUGUGAUUUAAGUUUAGCAUUUAAUACCAAAUAGUGUAACUUCAGCAUUAAUAAGACAAAUAGUCCGUCUUUGCUCUUGGUUGGGGAUGUAGUGGUCUGAGCUGGGAUGAUCCGAUGGGCAUAUUUCUCUUGGCCUUAGAUGGAGCUGGGAUGGUCAGUCAGUCUGCAGCUGUAGCUGGCGUAAUCUCAAUUGGGGAUGGGCAUCUGUCGGUCGUCUGGACAUGGUGGAACUUCUUCCUACCUCGGGAUGGCUAUUCAGGGCUUUGAACUGUCAGAAAGAACAUACUAACAUCGACGGCCACUGACCAAGAAAUAGAAUUAUAUAUUAAAAAAUGGCUUCACCUGGCUGGUGACCGUGAUGGUGGGAGACGCGAAAGAGAGAAACGGAGGAGUGCCCAAGAUACACGCCCGCAAGACUGCCAUGGAGCUGAUGGGCCCAGUCAAGGAGUUCAUUAAAACGUGUAUUUGGAUGGUUCCUGUCUAAUUAAUAGUCUUAUAAGAUGACUUAACACCAUUUUUGUGUUUUAUUUGUUUUAAUUGUUAUUGUUCUUUUUUGCAUAUUCAGAUUGCUUCCCAGUUUUGGAUGUGUAAUCAUGCAAUGUUUG